rnacentral:siRNA from 1 species
UGCCAUGUAACCAUAUGUGCC